CAGUCGCCGCGGGAAUACAGAGGGUGCGAGCGUUAAUCGGAUUUACUGGGCGUAAAGCGUGCGUAGGCGGCUUCUUAAGUCGGAUGUGAAAUCCCUGAGCUUAACUUAGGAAUUGCAUUCGAUACUGGGAAGCUAGAGUAUGGGAGAGGAUGGUAGAAUUCCAGGUGUAGCGGUGAAAUGCGUAGAGAACUGGAGGAAUACCGAUGGCGAAGGCAGCCAUCUGGCCUAAUACUGACGCUGAGGUACGAAAGCAUGGGGAGCAAACAGGAUUAGAUACCCCCGUAGUCCCUGUCUCUUAUAC
rnacentral:rRNA from 1 species